rnacentral:rRNA from 1 species
AUUGAACGCUGGCGGCAGGCUUAACACAUGCAAGUCGAACGAGUGGCGGACGGGUGAGUAAUGUCUGGGAAACUGCCCGAUGGAGGGGGAUAACGACUGGAAACGGUAGCUAAUACCGCAUACCCUCGGAUGUGCCCAGAUGGGAUUAGCUAGUAGGUGGGGUAACGGCUCGACUAGGCGACGAUCCCUAGCUGGUCUGAGAGGAGGACCAGCCACACGGGAACUGAGCCACGGUCCAGACUCCUACGGGAGGAAGCAGUGGGGAAUAUUGCAAAAUGGGCGGAAGCCUGAUGCAGCCAUGCCGCGUGUAUGAAGAAGUCCUUCGGUUUGUAAAGUACUUUCAGCGAGGAGGCGUUACUCGCAGAAGAAGCACCGGCUAACUCCGUGCCAGCAGCCGCGGUAAUAC